UGUACGUACAAGCAGUGGGAGCACCCUUUGGGGUGUGACUGCGUACCUUUUGUAUAAUGGGUCAGCGACUUAUAUUCUGUAGCAAGGUUAACCGAAUAGGGGAGCCGGAGGGAAACCGAGUCUUAAUUGGGCGUUAAGUUGCAGGGUAUAGACCCGAAACCCGGUGAUCUAGCCAUGGGCAGGUUGAAGGUUGGGUAACACUAACUGGAGGACCGAACCGACUAAUGUUGAAAAAUUAGCGGAUGACCUGUGGCUGGGGGUGAAAGGCCAAUCAAACCGGGAGAUAGCUGGUUCUCCCCGAAAGCUAUUUAGGUAGCGCCUCGUGAAUUCAUCUCCGGGGGUAGAGCACUGUUUCGGCUAGGGGGCCAUCCCGGCUUACCAACCCGAUGCAAACUGCGAAUACCGGAGAAUGUUAUCACGGGAGACACACGGCGGGUGCUAACGUCCGUCGUGAAGAGGGAAACAACCCAGACCGCCAGCUAAGGUCCCAAAGUCAUGGUUAAGUGGGAAACGAUGUGGGAAGGCCCAGACAGCCAGGAUGUUGGCUUAGAAGCAGCCAUCAUUUAAAGAAAGCGUAAUAGCUCACUGGUCGAGUCGGCCUGCGCG
rnacentral:rRNA from 1 species